AUACAUCGUUAAAAGACUAUUGGC
rnacentral:siRNA from 1 species